CGCCAUGCACGUCGUCAAGAGAGAUGGCCGCCAUGAGCGGGUCAUGUUUGACAAGAUCACCUCCCGGAUUCAGAAGCUCUGCUACGGUCUCAACUUAGACUUCGUGGACCCUGCUCAAAUCACCAUGAAAGUGAUCCAGGGUCUCUACAGCGGGGUCACCACCGUGGAGCUGGACACUUUGGCUGCGGAGACGGCGGCAACGCUGACCACCAAGCACCGGACUAUGCCAUCUUG